rnacentral:rRNA from 1 species
AUUGAACGCUGGCGGCAUGCUUUACACAUGCAAGUCGAACGGUAACAGGGAGCUUGCUCCGCUGACGAGUGGCGAACGGGUGAGUAAUGCGUCGGAACGUGCCGAGUAGUGGGGGAUAACGCAUCGAAAGGUGUGCUAAUACCGCAUACGUACUGAGGUAGAAAGUGGGGGACCUUCGGGCCUCACGCUAUUCGAGCGGCCGACGUCUGAUUUAGCUAGUUGGUGAGGUAAAGGCUCCCCAAGGCGACGAGCAGUAGCGGGUCUGAGAGGAUGAUCCGCCACACUGGGACUGAGACACGGCCCAGACUCCUACGGGAGGCAGCAAUGGGGAAUUUUGGACAAUGGGCGCAAGCCUGAUCCAGCCAUGCCGCGUGUCUGAAGAAGGCCUUCGGGUUGUAAAGGACUUUUGUCCGGGAGCAAAUGCUGGUGGCUAACAUCCACCGGAGCUGAGAGUACCGGAAGAAUAAGCACCGGCUAACUACGUGCCAGCAGCCGCGGUAAUAC